AAAUGAGACUUCCAAAGGGAUCGCAUUGAUCCUAACUCUAUGUUUCAAACUGAGUUUAAAAUGAGUGAAUUUGGAUUAUGCUAUCCCUUUAGAUGCCUCAUU
rnacentral:pre_miRNA from 1 species